AGUUAAAAAUUACUCAGCUCAUCUUGCCCUUCUACAGUGUUUUAGGCUGACCACCGCUGCAUUCCAUUGUCUGGGUCUUUGCAGCCUGUUUUUCCUGUCACCUCUUAGCAUCGAUUGUUCUAGUGCUUUGUGGCUGCUGGAAUCAAAUGGCGCCAUCUCUAGAGGGGUAAUCACAGUCGUUUCGGGCAUUUGUGAAAUAGCGUGUAGAAACUGCUUCCGUACAAACUCGAAGUGAUCAGCCUAUGGAGUGGCUGACUGCAAAAGACGACGCCUGAUGAUAGCUCCAAGGUGGGAUUCCUCACCUUUCUCAAAUUUGGUUCUCUAUUCUUUUCCUUAUAUUUUACUCUUUCUGUAGCUGUCCUUUCUGUUCCUUUCUCUCCCUCGCCAACCACAUUUUUGGGGCAAGAACUUUCUAUUUUUUUUUCCUCAUUCCACCUAGAAACACUUCAGGAAGCUGUUUGAGAAAGAAAGGUGGCUUUUACCCUGUAUUUCCUUAGAAUUGUGAAGGUGCCGCUUGAGCUCCCUCAUGUUCCUCUUUUCUGUUGAACUAGGAAAUCAGCUGUGCCCAGAAACCCUGUCUUUUACAUUUACAAAUAAAGUGCAGGAGGAAAAGACCGAGGAUGACUUUAUUCCAAGAAAAAGAGUUUCAAAUGGCCGGACGCGGUGGCUCACGCCUGUAAUCCCAGCCAGAAGGGAGGCCGAUGCAUGUGGAUCACAAGGUCAGGAGUUCGAGACCAGCCUGGCUAAGAUGGCGAAACCCCUUCUCUACUAAAAAUAAAGAAAAUUGGCCUGGCGUGGUGGAGGGCGCCCAUAAUCCCAGCUACUCAGGAGGUUGAGGCAAGAAAAUCGCUUGAACGCAGAAGGCGGAGGUUGCAGUGAGCCAAGAUCGAGCCCCUGCACUCCAUGCACUCCAGCCUGGGCAACAAAGUAAGAGUCCGUCUCAAAAAAAAGUUUCAAAUAAAUGUUGUGUGACCUUCCUGACCUAGGCUGGCUCUGCCUUGCCCUGCCUUCCAGCUAUCAGAUUUCGUUUCUCAGUAAUGUUUACCUUUUAUAUUUCAAAUGUGUAUGAUUAUUUACCUCUUUAGCAAAUAUCUAAUUUUAUUCUAAAAAUCAGUCUCUGCAAGUACAUUAUGAACUACUCUAUGAUUACUGUAUGUGCAAAACAUUACAUACUCAUGUUGUAAUAGUUAAUCAGUUUCUCACUGAGCUAGGCUGGCCUCUUUUUCCUUUUUUUUUUUUUUUUUUUUUUUUUUUUGACAGAGUUUUGGUCUUGUCACCCCAGGCUGGAGUGCAAUGGUGAGUUCUCUGCUCACUGCAAUCUCCCCCUCACGGGUUCAAGCGAUUCUCC
rnacentral:lncRNA from 10 species